GGUAAGUUGGCUCAGUGAUUAAAGCAUCGAUCUCGUAACAGAAAAGUCGCGGGAUCGAAUCCCGCUAUAGGCUG
rnacentral:tRNA from 1 species